AAUCUGGGGCCCUCGGCCCUCGAGUUGUAAUUUGGAGAGGCAUCUUCGGAGGGGAGCGCCGGCCCAAGUUCCUUGGAACAGGACGUCGCAGAGGGUGAGAAUCCCGUGCCCGGCCGGCAGCCUCCCCUCGAGUGAAGGGCCUUCGACGAGUCGAGUUGUUUGGGAAUGCAGCUCCAAGUGGGUGGUAUAUUUCAUCUAAAGCUAAAUACCGGCGGGAGACCGAUAGCGCACAAGUAGAGUGAUCGAAAGAUGAAAAGCACUUUGAAAAUAGAGUCAAAAAGUACGUGAAAUUGUUGAAAGGGAAGCGCUUGAGACCAGACUCAGACCCGAGCAAACACCGCGCCCCUCGGGGCCGUGCAAUUGCCCGGGGCUGGGCCAGCAUCAGUUGGCGUGGCGGGACAAAGGCGCAGGCAAUGUGGCUCCCCUCGGGGAGUGUUAUUAGGCCCGCGCUCAAUGCCGCCGACGUCGACUGAGGACCGCGCCUCGGCUAGGAUGCUGGCUUAAUGGCCUUCAGCGACCCGUCUUGAAACACGGA
rnacentral:rRNA from 1 species